CAAGACGUAGCUAUAAAUACAAAAGCAUUCAGCUUACACCCUGUCUCUUAUACACA
rnacentral:tRNA from 1 species